rnacentral:rRNA from 1 species
AGCUAAGGCCAUAUCACCCUGAACGUGCCCCAUCUCUUCUGAUCUUGGAAGCCAAGCAAGGUAGGGCCUAGAUAGUACUUGGAUGGGAGAGUAGAAAGCCUGCCUGAGCUA